rnacentral:hammerhead_ribozyme from 1 species
GCACUGCUGAGGUGUCCCACAACAGGACGAAACGGCCGUUCAGUGC